UUUGAUCAUGGCUCAGAUUGAACGCUGGCGGCAGGCCUAACACAUGCAAGUCGAGCGGUAGAGAGGUGCUUGCACCUCUUGAGAGCGGCGGACGGGUGAGUAAUGCCUAGGAAUCUGCCUGGUAGUGGGGGAUAACGCUCGGAAACGGACGCUAAUACCGCAUACGUCCUACGGGAGAAAGCAGGGGACCUUCGGGCCUUGCGCUAUCAGAUGAGCCUAGGUCGGAUUAGCUAGUUGGUGGGGUAAUGGCUCACCAAGGCGACGAUCCGUAACUGGUCUGAGAGGAUGAUCAGUCACACUGGAACUGAGACACGGUCCAGACUCCUACGGGAGGCAGCAGUGGGGAAUAUUGGACAAUGGGCGAAAGCCUGAUCCAGCCAUGCCGCGUGUGUGAAGAAGGUCUUCGGAUUGUAAAGCACUUUAAGUUGGGAGGAAGGGCAUUAACCUAAUACGUUAGUGUUUGACGUACCGACAG
rnacentral:rRNA from 1 species